rnacentral:rRNA from 1 species
GACGAACCGUGCGACCGUUGUUCGGAAUCACUGGGCAUAAAGGGCGCGUAGGCGGCUUAUCAAGUCAGGGGUGAAAUCCGGCAGCUCAACUGUCGAAGUGCCUUUGAUACUGAUGAGCUAGAGGGAGAUAGGGGUAUGCGGAACUUCCGGUGGAGCGGUGAAAUGCGUUGAUAUCGGAAGGAACGCCGGUGGCGAAAGCGGCGUACUGGAUCUCUUCUGACGCUGAGGCGCGAAAGCUAGGGGAGCAAACGGG